rnacentral:rRNA from 1 species
AGUGAACGCUGGCGGUAGGCCUAACACAUGCAGGUCGAACGGCAGCACAGUAAGAGCUUGCUCUUACGGGUGGCGAGUGGCGGACGGGUGAGGAAUACAUCGGAAUCUACUUUUUCGUGGGGGAUAACGUAGGGAAACUUACGCUAAUACCGCAUACGACCUACGGGUGAAAGCAGGGGAUCUUCGGACCUUGCGCGAUUGAAUGCGCCGAUGUCGGAUUAGCUAGUUGGCGGGGUAAAGGCCCACCAAGGCGACGAUCCGUAGCUGGUCUGAGAGGAUGAUCAGCCACACUGGAACUGAGACACGGUCCAGACUCCUACGGGAGGCAGCAGUGGGGAAUAUUGGACAAAGGGCGCAAGCCUGAUCCAGCCAUACCGCGUGGGUGAAGAAGGCCUUCGGGUUGUAAAGCCCUUUUGUUGGGAAAGAAAAGCAGCAGGUUAAUACCCCGCUGUUCUGACGGUACCCAAAGAAUAAGCACCGGCUAACUUCGUG